GAAGCCGCACAUGCAAAAAAACACACACAUGCUGUUGCUUCCAUGAUGCAGGUUGCGACAAGGAAAAGAGGGUUGGGUUUCGUUGCUGGUGUAAGAUUCCUUCAGGAAUCUGUCUUGUAAUUGCUCCGACAAGCCACCACAAGCGUACAAGUUGCGAGAAGGGUCUUGUUUGUGAGAAGAAAACAAUGGGGAAAGAAGCAGGAGAAGAAGGAAAAAUUCCAACAACAACAACAACACCUGAAUUUGGCUCCUCCACAGAAUGACAAACGGUAUCCCUCUCUUUCAGAUUCCCCGGUCCGUGUUCCCUUGCAUGAAUCGUUCAGACAACUCAAAGGCUCAUUGAUGUCAGCCAGUUGGUUUCUUUUUUGUGUUUUUUUUAGAAUAUUGUUUUGGACAUGCCGAUUGCUUAGAUCCCAUGCUAGUUUUCAUCACUUCGAAUUGUGAAUGGCCGAAAAUUAGACAUCGACAUUAACGAAAUCAACACACAAAGGAGACGCUACAGUGAAACUCUACGCUGCGGGAUCAGCAAAACACAUUGUUAAUGUCAUCGUUAAUGACAACGUGAAAUUAAAAAUUAAAUUAAAAAACUAAAGAUUCUUUUUCUCUUCUAAUUUUACUGAGCAAAACAAAAAACAAACAGCAAAGAAAACAAAAACACGAAUAUAAUCUGAAUGGAAUACAAUAUAAUUUUAAAUAUAUCUAUCCAUCUAUUUAUGCAUAUA
rnacentral:lncRNA from 1 species